rnacentral:rRNA from 1 species
GAUGAACGCUGGCGGCGUGCCUAAUACAUGCAAGUCGAGCGAACGGACGAGAAGCUUGCUUCUCUGAUGUUAGCGGCGGACGGGUGAGUAACACGUGGAUAACCUACCUAUAAGACUGGGAUAACUUCGGGAAACCGGAGCUAAUACCGGAUGAUAUUUUGAACCGCAUGGUUCAAAAGUGAAAGACGGUCUUGCUGUCACUUAUAGAUGGAUCCGCGCUGCAUUAGCUAGUUGGUAAGGUAACGGCUUACCAAGGCAACGAUGCAUAGCCGACCUGAGAGGCUGAUCGGCCACACUGGAGCUGAGCCACGGUCCAUGCUCCUACGGGAGGCAGCAGUAGGGAAUCUUCCGCAAUGGUCGAAAGCCUGACGCAGCAACGCCGCGUGUGUUAUGAAGGUCUUCCGAUCGUAAUGCUCUGUUAUUAGGGAUGAACAUAUUUGUAAGUUACUGUGCACAUCUUGACGGUACCUAAUCAGAAAGCCACGGCUAACUACGUG